GUUGUAAUCUGGAGAAGUGCUUUUCCGUGCUGGACCGUGUACAAGUCUCUUGGAACAGAGCGUCAUAGAGGGUGAGAAUCCCGUCUUUGACACGGACUACCAGUGCUUUGUGAUGCGCUCUCAAAGAGUCGAGUUGUUUGGGAAUGCAGCUCAAAAUGGGUGGUAAAUUCCAUCUAAAGCUAAAUAUUGGCGAGAGACCGAUAGCGAACAAGUACCGUGAGGGAAAGAUGAAAAGAACUUUGGAAAGAGAGUUAAACAGUACGUGAAAUUGCUGAAAGGGAAACGCUUGAAGUCAGUCACGUCAGCCGAAACUCAGCCUUGCUUUCGCUUGGUCUAUUUUUCGGUUUGAUGGGUCAGCAUCAGUUUUGAUCAUCAGACAAUGGCUGAGGGAAUGUGGCAUCUUCGGAUGUGUUUAUAGCCCUCGGUCGCAUGUGACGGUUGGAACUGAGAUGCUUACAGCGCACCUUUAACGGUCGGGGUUCUGCCCACGUUUUGCGCUUAGGAUGCUGGCAUAAUGGCUUUAAACGACCCGUCUUGAAACACGGACCAAGGAGUCUAACAUGCCCGCGAGUGUUUGGGUGCAAAACUCGAGCGCGUAAUGAAAGUGAAAGUCGAGACUCUCCAGAGAGGCAUCGACGCCCGGACCUGAUCUUCGGUGACGGAUCUGCGGUAGAGCGUGUAUGUUGGGACCCGAAAGAUGGUGAACUAUGCCUGAAUAGGGUGAAGCCAGAGGAAACUCUGGUG
rnacentral:rRNA from 1 species